UUUGGUUAAGUUAGAAAGGGCGCACGGUGGAUGCCUUGACACUAGGAGUCGAUGAAGGACGGGACUAACGCCGAUAUGCUUCGGGGAGCUGUAAGUAAGCUUUGAUCCGAAGAUUUCCGAAUGGGGAAACCCACCAUACGUAAUGGUAUGGUAUCCUUAUCUGAAUACAUAGGGUAAGGAAGACAGACCCAGGGAACUGAAACAUCUAAGUACCUGGAGGAAGAGAAAGCAAAUGCGAUUUCCUGAGUAGCGGCGAGCGAAACGGAACAUAGCCCAAACCAAGAGGCUUGCCUCUUGGGGUUGUAGGACAUUCUAUACGGAGUUACAAAGGAACGAGGUAGACGAAGCGACCUGGAAAGGUCCGUCGUAGAGGGUAACAACCCCGUAGUCGAAACUUCGUUCUCUCUUGAAUGUAUCCUGAGUACGGCGGAACACGUGAAAUUCCGUCGGAAUCUGGGAGGACCAUCUCCCAAGGCUAAAUACUCCCUAGUGAUCGAUAGUGAACCAGUACCGUGAGGGAAAGGUGAAAAGCACCCCGGAAGGGGAGUGAAAGAGAUCCUGAAACCGUGUGCCUACAAAUAGUCAGAGCCUGUUAACGGGUGAUGGCGUGCCUUUUGUAGAAUGAACCGGCGAGUUACGAUCCCGUGCGAGGUUAAGCUGAAGAGGCGGAGCCGCAGCGAAAGCGAGUCUGAAUAGGGCGUUUAGUACGUGGUCGUAGACCCGAAACCAGGUGAUCUACCCAUGUCCAGGGUGAAGUUCAGGUAACACUGAAUGGAGGCCCGAACCCACGCACGUUGAAAAGUGCGGGGAUGAGGUGUGGGUAGCGGAGAAAUUCCAAUCGAACCUGGAGAUAGCUGGUUCUCCCCGAAAUAGCUUUAGGGCUAGCCUUAAGUGUAAGAGUCUUGGAGGUAGAGCACUGAUUGGACUAGGGGUCCUCAUCGGAUUACCGAAUUCAGUCAAACUCCGAAUGCCAAUGACUUAUCCUUAGGAGUCAGACUGCGAGUGAUAAGAUCCGUAGUCAAAAGGGAAACAGCCCAGACCGCCAGCUAAGGUCCCAAAGUGUGUAUUAAGUGGAAAAGGAUGUGGAGUUGCUUAGACAACUAGGAUGUUGGCUUAGAAGCAGCCACCAUUUAAAGAGUGCGUAAUAGCUCACUAGUCGAGUGACUCUGCGCCGAAAAUGUACCGGGGCUAAAUACACCACCGAAGCUGCGGAUUGAUACCAAUGGUAUCAGUGGUAGGGGAGCGUUCUAAGGACAGUGAAGUCAGACCAGAAGGACUGGUGGAGUGCUUAGAAGUGAGAAUGCCGGUAUGAGUAGCGAAAGACGGGUGAGAAUCCCGUCCACCGAAUGCCUAAGGUUUCCUGAGGAAGGCUCGUCCGCUCAGGGUUAGUCAGGACCUAAGCCGAGGCCGACAGGCGUAGGCGAUGGACAACAGGUUGAUAUUCCUGUACCACCUCUUUAUCGUUUGAGCAAUGGAGGGACGCAGAAGGAUAGAAGAAGCGUGCGAUUGGUUGUGCACGUCCAAGCAGUUAGGCUGAUAAGUAGGCAAAUCCGCUUAUCGUAAAGGCUGAGCUGUGAUGGGGAAGCUCCUUAUGGAGCGAAGUCUUUGAUUCCCCGCUGCCAAGAAAAGCUUCUAGCGAGAUAAAAGGUGCCUGUACCGCAAACCGACACAGGUAGGCGAGGAGAGAAUCCUAAGGUGUGCGAGAGAACUCUGGUUAAGGAACUCGGCAAAAUGACCCCGUAACUUCGGGAGAAGGGGUGCUUUCUUAACGGAAAGCCGCAGUGAAUAGGCCCAAGCGACUGUUUAGCAAAAACACAGCUCUCUGCGAAGCCGUAAGGCGAAGUAUAGGGGGUGACACCUGCCCGGUGCUGGAAGGUUAAGGAGAGGGGUUAGCGUAAGCGAAGCUCUGAACUGAAGCCCCAGUAAACGGCGGCCGUAACUAUAACGGUCCUAAGGUAGCGAAAUUCCUUGUCGGGUAAGUUCCGACCCGCACGAAAGGUGUAACGAUUUGGGCACUGUCUCAACCAGAGACUCGGUGAAAUUAUAGUACCUGUGAAGAUGCAGGUUACCCGCGACAGGACGGAAAGACCCCGUGGAGCUUUACUGUAGCCUGAUAUUGAAUUUUGGUACAGUUUGUACAGGAUAGGCGGGAGCCUUUGAAACCGGAGCGCUAGCUUCGGUGGAGGCGCUGGUGGGAUACCGCCCUGACUGUAUUGAAAUUCUAACCUACGGGUCUUAUCGACCCGGGAGACAGUGUCAGGUGGGCAGUUUGACUGGGGCGGUCGCCUCCUAAAGUGUAACGGAGGCGCCCAAAGGUUCCCUCAGAAUGGUUGGAAAUCAUUCGUAGAGUGCAAAGGCAUAAGGGAGCUUGACUGCGAGACCUACAAGUCGAGCAGGGACGAAAGUCGGGCUUAGUGAUCCGGUGGUUCCGCAUGGAAGGGCCAUCGCUCAACGGAUAAAAGCUACCCCGGGGAUAACAGGCUUAUCUCCCCCAAGAGUCCACAUCGACGGGGAGGUUUGGCACCUCGAUGUCGGCUCAUCGCAUCCUGGGGCUGUAGUCGGUCCCAAGGGUUGGGCUGUUCGCCCAUUAAAGCGGUACGCGAGCUGGGUUCAGAACGUCGUGAGACAGUUCGGUCCCUAUCCGUCGUGGGCGUAGGAAAUUUGAGAGGAGCUGUCCUUAGUACGAGAGGACCGGGAUGGACGCACCGCUGGUGUACCAGUUGUUCUGCCAAGGGCAUAGCUGGGUAGCUAUGUGCGGAAGGGAUAAGUGCUGAAAGCAUCUAAGCAUGAAGCCCCCCUCAAGAUGAGAUUUCCCAUAGCGUAAGCUAGUAAGAUCCCUGAAAGAUGAUCAGGUUGAUAGGUUCGAGGUGGAAGCAUGGUGACAUGUGGAGCUGACGAAUACUAAUAGAUCGAGGACUUAACCAUAUAA
rnacentral:rRNA from 1 species